AUUGAACGCUGGCGGCAGGCCUAACACAUGCAAGUCGAGCGAGCGGCGGACGGGUGAGUAAUGUCUGGGAAACUGCCCGGUGGAGGGGGAUAACUAAUGGAAACGGUAGCUAAUACCGCAUACCAUCGGAUGUGCCCAGAUGGGAUUAGCUAGUAGGUGGGGUAACGGCUUACCUAGGCGACGAUCCCUAGCUGGUUUGAGAGGAUGACCAGCCACACUGGAACUGAGACACGGUCCAGACUCCUACGGGAGGCAGCAGUGGGGAAUAUUGCACAAUGGGCGCAAGCCUGAUGCAGCCAUGCCGCGUGUGUGAAGAAGGCCUUCGGGUUGUAAAGUACUUUCAGCGGGGAGGCGUUACCCGCAGAAGAAGCACCGGCUAACUCCGUGCCAGCCGCCGCGGUAAUUC
rnacentral:rRNA from 1 species